CAGACCGACCGACAUAGACAGACACGCGCACAGAAGCAACCCCCUCACCCUCUUUCUCUACACGCAAGCCGAAGCUCUUUCAGCGAACAAUGGUCUCCAAGACCCGCAGACAACGCCAGAAGAAGAAGGCCACCAUGCAGGCCAACGGCGGCGUUCUCCCCCCGGUGUUGCCGAGCGUGCCCAAGUCGGUGCACCUGAAGAAGACACGGCCCAACAUGAAGGGCAAGAUGAAGAUCCGGCUCGGGCUCGAGUCCCCCAUUGACAUCUACAACGGCUUUGAGGAGCGCAAGGGUGUUCUCUGGCGGUGCCCCACCUGUGCCAAGGCGUGCCGUGUGGUCGGCUUCUGUGUCGACUGCGCCUCCGGCGUGAAGUCGAAGUCUCCCGCGGGCCAACUUAUUGGGAAGGCGAGCACGAAGAAGGAGGCCGCGCAGACGAGGGCACCAAAGCUGCGCAUCAAGGAGAAGAGUAGGGCGAUGAGGCUGAGGCGCAAGAAGUAGGGCGGCGCGCGUGCGAAUGGACCGAGAGUGGCGGUGGGCAGGUUGACUUGUUGCACAUGUCUUCCCCGUCCCUUCGUGCGCUGUGCGUGAGGGACCAUUUUCUUUCCUUUAAUGGAUGGCUGCAUCCUGAGCGAGUAAAGGCGCGUCAAACCAACAGAGCGCAUGACAUAGCGAGCUCCUAUGCGAAUAUGGCAUGCGGGGACAUCGCAAGGCUGGGACCAUGACGAACGCGCCUAGGUGACUACACGAGAACUUCAAAAAAAACACGAGACUCAUCGGCCUUGAGGAGCACCAAUGAUUACGUGCAAGACUUGCGCGCAGGUAGGCGGCGAGGAAUGAGAAGAGCCGCUUGCAGGCGCACUCCCUUCCUAUGGCUCGACAGGGGAGCGGCGGCCAGUGGAAGUCGCACAUCUGCACUCAUCCGGACGAUCCACCACAGACGCACAUCAGCAUCUCCACUUAUUUCUUCUCCCCCCUCUCUCUGCUUCCCCUCUCACCUUCUUUGUCCGCCGCUCUGCACCGCGUCUCGAUUUCACGCUCACGCCGUGGCCGUUUGCGCGUGUUCCAUGUGCUUCCUCAUCUCUCUCCCUCUGUCUAUCUCCAAAUUUUCGUUUCGGGGCGUUGCCAUCGGCCGUCCCCAUGCGGGUGAUGUACACCACUCGCACACGCCCUUCCCCCCUCCCCUCUUUUCCCGCUCGCACUGCCGAAUCUCUUCUCUGCCUACAUGUAG
rnacentral:misc_RNA from 1 species